GUGUGAUUGGCUGACAGAGUGAUCCUUCCUCAUUAUUUUACCUCACGAUGACGACUCUGUCAGCAGAUUGUCAUUUGACUGACAGCUUCUGAUCAAUGUGGAAGCAGCCAAAUAUCUCCAAAUGAAAGAAAACUUGGGUUUAUCUUUGCAAUAAUACCCUUCACAAGGUGUUCAGAUGAAGAAAAAAAGAGGAUAAAACUCCAGAAGAAGGACACAGAUUCAGUUCACAUUAAGAGGAGCAUCCAGCAGGACACACAGAAGAUAAAAAAAAAAAACAA